AUGCACCACUCUGGUGAGACAGUCCGCGGGCAGGGAGGGUCUCAUCCUGCAUACCAGAUAGAGCAGGUAGACAGCUGCCCUGGAUACAGAAUUGAUCUGCGCCUCCAUGGACAGCUCUGAGUCCAGAAUGACUCCCAGGCUACGCACCUGGUCCUUCAGGGGUACAGUUACUCCAUUCAGGACCAGGGAGACCUCCACACCAGCCCACCCCUGUCCCCCCAAAACAGUACUCCUGUAGCCUGCCCGGGACUGACCAGCCAGGCAGAAAAAGCCAGGUAUUCCCUUCACAGCUCCUCCUGGUGGGCCAUCAAACUUGGGGGGCUUCCUUGACCCUGACGGGUCACCAGUUGUCCUGUGAUUUACAUCAAGGGUCCUGCGCAGCCUCUCUCAUGUGAGUCUUCCUGCCUGGUAGGGAGUCAAGAGGUAAACAUUGCAUUCGCUGGAAACAGAACGAGUGUUGUGCAGUGGUAAGAGUUUCGAAAUCAGACCUGGGAGACCAAGGUUCGAAUCCCUGCCAUGACGCUCACUGGGCGACCUUGAGUCAGUCGCUGCCUCUCAGCUGAGCCUACCUCUCAGGGUUGUUGUGCGGAGGAGAACAACCAUGUAUGUGUCUCCAUCUCCAUCAUUCUGCCCAGACACUGAGGUCCAACGCUAAGGGCCUUCUGUCGGUUCCCUCCCUACGAGAAGCC